rnacentral:lncRNA from 1 species
ACCCAAACACUAGGUCCAAGACCUGAAAUCUCUUGAGAAGAGGUUGGUACAAGUCCCUCUCAGAUCUGGAGUUGAUCUGAGGUCGUUUGAGGUGCGGGCGAGAUCUCCAUCAAUAGAUCUACAAGAAAGGCUGCAGCAGGACAAAUCUACAAGGUCUGUCUCCAUCUACCUUCUUCCCUAUCUAUAAUACCUCAAUUCAAGAUCUACAAAUUGGAGGACUUCGGUCCAGGUCUGAUCUGGUUGGGUACCAAAUCUUGAAUUUUUUAGAGGUGAUUUCAAAGGCGUUCUUCAUCUGGAAUGAAAGGCUGACGAAGAAGACAGCAACCAGGCUGAUUUCAUCAAGGACCUUGGAUCGUAUCCAGAAGUCUCCAGAUCUAUUCAUUGCUGGUUCUGCUGUACCCAAGGUCCAUAGGACGAGCCAGGAUCAUUCUUCAAUAGUUGGUAUCAAAGCCACGGUGGUGAGAAAGCGGUUCUAAGCAUGAGAAGUUGAAGAUCCCAAGUGCUGAAAAUUUUCAGCAAGGUACCAUCAAGGUAUAUUCUACACUUCUUGAUUUUAUAUUGCUUGUUUGGCUUGGAUCUAGUCAUGGGCAGUAAUAUGAAGGUUGAGUUCGAGAAGUUUGAUGGCAA